rnacentral:rRNA from 1 species
AGGGAAUCUUCCACAAUGGACGCAAGUCUGAUGGAGCAACGCCGCGUGAGUGAAGAAGGUCUUCGGAUCGUAAAGCUCUGUUGUUGGUGAAGAAGGAUAGAGGCAGUAACUGGUCUUUAUUUGACGGUAAUCAACCAGAAAGUCACGGCUAACUACGUGCCAGCAGCCGCGGUAAUACGUAGGUGGCAAGCGUUGUCCGGAUUUAUUGGGCGUAAAGCGAGCGCAGGCGGAAUGAUAA